rnacentral:lncRNA from 1 species
UCACUUCUAUCCAAAAUCAAUUCUACAAAAUCACUCUCAUUCAAACUCCAGUUUGACAAAUGCUAAUCUAAACACACACAAAUUUGUCACUUUAACCCUGCUAGUCCUAUCGCUACCUCCACCCAUCUUUUUCCUUCUCUCUUUCAUGAGUUAAAUCUCAAUUUGGUCCCUGAAAUAUGGGUUGAUGUUCAGAAUGAUCCCUCACAAUUUUGUUGGCCCCAAUUAGAAUCCCUAA